rnacentral:lncRNA from 1 species
CUUUUCUUCUUGAGGAUGCGCGCCGGGGGUCUACAGGCGUGCACAGAGCAGCUCCUCAGUCAUUUAACGCACGAUUAGAUGUCAGGGCUGUUGGAGCCACAUUUUAGGAAAUGACUAUUCAUAAUGGAAGUCCUGGCAGGGUUUCCUUAUAAUCAGCAUAACGGGGCGGAGGGCUCAGCUGCGGCACCCACGCCAAAAGGCUCUUAAUUUACAAGCGAUGUGAACUUACCGCCGGCUGCCAGAGAGUCAGAUACGGGAAGCGAUACAAAAGAGCAACUCAGCAUGAUGAGAUUUCCCAUCUGUCUGUCUACGUGAAGGCUGAUGGAGGCAGGACUUCGUCUCCCGGCCUGACUGCUGGGUGCACAGUGUCGCCUGCUCUCCUUUCUGAAGCCCAGACUGAGAUCUGAAAGCGGGGAAACCACCUGAAGUCUCAGCUGAUGAGCCAAAGCCAAAGGACCUGCGGAGAACCCCGGGAUACCCGUGUUUGGGAAAGUUGUCUCUGAUAAAAGCAAUUCCAAAGAUGCUGUCAUAUUUUGCUGAAAAGAAUCCUGGGGAUGUUAUCAGGUAGCUGUGGAAACAUAUGGCUGCCAUGUGCCUCCUCAAAGGCUCUGUGGCUCAUUUCUGAAGCCCCGAUGGAUGAAGCAGUCAGUGUCUUCUCGGGGCUGGUGUCAGCUCUGACAGCCGUAGGUGCACCCCUGGGGGUCCCAGGGAGGCCAUCCCCCGCCCCCUGCCCCGUGCACAGAGAAGAAUGAAGAAAAAGGAGGAGGAGGACACAGCUGAGCCCCCAGAACCUGGAGAAAUCCAGUGAACUCAAGCCCAGAGCACUGUGUACUUUGGGUGGGGGUCUCCACUCCCAGUCCUGGUCUCAGGAAGUUAAGGGGUCACACGGGAGUGACUGUUGGCACGCCCUGUAAGUUCUGUCC